rnacentral:rRNA from 1 species
AUUGAACGCUGGCGGCAUGCCUUACACAUGCAAGUCGAACGGCAGCACGGGUGCUUGCACCUGGUGGCGAGUGGCGAACGGGUGAGUAAUAUAUCGGAACGUACCUUAUUGUGGGGGAUAACGCAGCGAAAGCUGUGCUAAUACCGCAUAAUCCCUAAGGGGGAAAGCGGGGGACCGUAAGGCCUCGCGCAAUUAGAGCGGCCGAUACCUGAUUAGCUAGUGGGUGAGGUAAAGGUUCACCAAGGCAACGAUCAGUAGCUGGUCUGAGAGGACGAUCAGCCACACUGGGACUUAUACACGGCCCAGACUCUGCCUGAAGGCAUCAGUGGGGAAUUUUGGGCAAUGGUGGCAACCCUGAGCCAGCAAUGCCACGUGAGUGAAGAAGGCCUUCGGGUUGUAAAGCUCUGUGGUCAGGAAAGAAACAGCAGCACUAACACAGUUUGCGAAUGACGGUACCUGAAGAAUAAGCACCGGCUAACUACGUGCCAGCCGCCGCCGUAA